AAAGGAAUUGACGGGGGCCCGCACAAGCGGUGGAGCAUGUGGUUUAAUUCGACGCAACGCGAAGAACCUUACCAGGGCUUGACAUCCUCUGACGUUCAUAGAGAUAUGGAUUUUUCCUUGGAAACAGAGAGACAGGUGGUGCAUGGUUGUCGUCAGCUCGUGUCGUGAGAUGUUGGGUUAAGUCCCGCAACGAGCGCAACCCCUGUACUUAGUUGCCAGCAUUAAGAUGGGCACUCUAAGUAGACUGCCGGUGACAAACCGGAGGAAGGUGGGGAUGACGUCAAAUCAUCAUGCCCCUUAUGUCCUGGGCUACACACGUGCUACAAUGGUCGGUACAACAGGCAGCGAAGCCGCGAGGCGGAGCAAAUCCUAUAAAGCCGAUCAUAGUUCGGAUUGCAGGCUGCAACUCGCCUGCAUGAAGUCGGAAUCGCUAGUAAUCGCAGGUCAGCAUACUGCGGUGAAUACGUUCCCGGGCCUUGUACACACCGCCCGU
rnacentral:rRNA from 1 species